GCAUCAGUGGUGUAACGGUAACAUUGGAGCUUCCCAUCCACGUGGCCCCCAAAUGGGGAUAACUGCUCUAGCCUCGGGUUCGACUCCCGGCUGAUGCA
rnacentral:tRNA from 1 species